rnacentral:rRNA from 1 species
AUUGAACGCUGGCGGCAGGCCUAACACAUGCAAGUCGAACGGUAACAGGAAACAGCUUGCUGUUUCGCUGACGAGUGGCGGCCGGGUGAGGAAUGUCUGUGAAACUGCCUGAUGGAGGGGGAUAACUACUGGAAACGGUAGCUAAUACCGCAUAACGUCGCAAGACCAAAGAGGGGGACCUUCGGGCCUCUUGCCAUCGGAUGUGCCCAGAUGGGAUUAGCUAGUAGGUGGGGUAACGGCUCACCUAGGCGACGAUCCCUAGCUGGUCUGAGAGGAUGACCAGCCACACUGGAACUGAGACACGGUCCAGACUCCUACGGGAGGCAGCAGUGGGGAAUAUUGCACAAAGGGCGCAAGCCUGAUGCAGCCAUGCCGCGUGUAUGAAGAAGGCCUUCGGGUUGUAAAGUACUUUAAGCGGGGAGGAAGGGAGUAAAGUUAAUACCUUUACUCAUUGACGUUACCCGCAGAAGAAGCACCGGCUAACUCCGUG